rnacentral:rRNA from 1 species
UACGUAGGGUGCGAGCGUUAAUCGGAAUUACUGGGCGUAAAGCGUGCGCAGGCGGUUUUGUAAGCCAGGUGUGAAAUCCCCGGGCUCAACCUGGGAAUGGCAUUUGGGACUGCAAGGCUGGAGUGCGGCAGAGGAGACUGGAAUUCCUGGUGUAGCAGUGAAAUGCGUAGAUAUCAUUUGGAACGCCAAUGGUGAAAACAGCUCGCUGGGGGUGCACUGACACUGAGACACGAAAGCCAGGGGAGCGAACGGG